rnacentral:rRNA from 1 species
AACGAACGCUGGCGGCAUGCCUAACACAUGCAAGUCGAACGGGACAUUCGGGUCUGGUGGCGCACGGGUGCGUAGAGGGGGGGAACCUGCCCUUAGAUUCGGAAUAACUCCCCGGAAGGGGUGCUAAUACCGGCGAAUAUAUUGGGACCAAAGAUUUAUCGCCUUUGGGUGGGCCCGCGUUGUAUUAGCAAGAGGUUAGGGUAAAAGCCUACAAAGGCGAGGAUCCAUAGCUGGUCUGAGAGGCUGAUCUGCGACACUGGGACUGGGACACGGCCCAGACUCUUGCGGGAGGCAGCAGUGGGGAAUAUUGGACUAUGGGCGAUAGCCUGAUCCAGCUAUGCCGCUUGAGUGAUUAAGGCCUUAGGGUUGUAAAGCUCUUUUACCCGUUAUGAUAAUGACAGUACCGGGAGAAUAAGCACCGGCUAACUCCGUG